AUCUGGGGCGACAGGCCAGGUGCUGGUUGGAGCAGCACUGUCCGGGCCUCAGGCUGUCUCCUUAAACAUGGGGUCGUAAGGAUUCCCCCUCACUGGACAUCCCCCACCCUUCCCUGCAGUCCUCCACUCCGGAUUAGGCUCUCCUACUACAGGCUCUCACAGUUCGCUGAGUUCUGACCUUUUUCCUCCGUCGCAACCCUGACUGCCCUGCGAUGCUUCCUCCAUCAGAGCCCUGAUCACUGACAUCACUGGAGCUUCAGGAAGGGCUGUCCUGGGAAGGUCACGAAGUAAGUGGCAGACUGGGUCCGCUGCCUGACUUGCAAGCCCAUCAGCCUCACUGAGGAGGGUCUGAGAAAUGGGAAGCCCCACAAGACAGGGACAGCUUGGGGGCCCAGCACGUCUCACCAGAGGGUGUAGGCAGCAAAGAAGGGCACGUAAAAGGGCUGCUUCUCCGGGAAGUGACGCAAGGAGAUGAGCACAGCGUAGCAGAACCACACGUAAGCCGCCACCUGCAGCCCAAUGAGCCCAUAGCCCGCCGGCGACUCGUACGUGUAUAGGACCUGGCCUGGGUCAAAGAACUGCACCCAAGGGAAAGGGUUCAUCAUAGCUUUGACCUCCUGCCCUCCACACAAGGACCCCAGACCCUAGGCCCCUCCCCCCACCGGCACCCAGGGAGCAGAGCUAUUGGGUCAGGACAGAAGCAGCAGGAGAGAACAAAAUGGAAAUAGAAGGACAUCGAGGUAGAGUGAGGGUGAAAAAGAAAGAGAAUACAUUCUCUACCAGGGGUCCAACAUGGGGCUAACCACCUACCAUGCGUAAGUUUUUCCAUUUGCGUCAACCCAAUGAGGUGGGUCUUCUUAACACCCCCACUUCGCAGAGGGGGAAACUGAGGCUAAAAGGGGCGGCUUUUGGCCAAAGGCAAAGCCAAGGUGAUAUAAAGCCUUAGAGGAGCCCUCUGGGAUAAGUAAGACCCUCCCAAUUUUACAGAAGAGGAAACAGGCUUAGAGGGGGUGGGCAUCACCCACGGUCAGCUAGCUGGGAAGUGGGAGAGCCAGAGUGGAAUCCAGGUCUGUGUGACUCCUGAACUCUCAGUCAUGACAUUGAGUUUAAAUGUGACAGACAGUGAGAGACAGAGGGAGGAGGAAGAAGGCUCCUCAGAGAUGGUGAAGAGAGGAGGCAUGCACUUAGAGAGACAGAUGGGCAGGCAGAAAUCGCAGAGUGGGAGAGAGCGAGCCAGCUAGAGUGCGAUGUGGGGAAGGGCUGGCAGACAGGUGGAGGAGGUGGCCAAAAGCUUGGGGAGGGGCGGAGAGGCAAGGCCUGGGCAGUGGGAAGCGGCACUCACCUCGGCCUCGUAAAUGAGCAGCACCACGUGGGUGAGAGUGUACAGGGUCAUGUAGACAGACAACUUCACGGAGCCCGAGUGGCUGAUUCGGCCCCUGGCAGCAGGCCAUGAAGGGAGACAGCAGGGGUGGGGGCUGUCAGGGAGAAGCGGGAAGCCAUCCCCCCCAGAUCCACCCCAGUGUCCUGUUCCCUAGCCCAGCCACACCUCCCCCCAGCACUCCCUCCCGCCCCAGCCUGGGCACCGUGUCACUGUGAAUCCCUUCCCCAGAAGGAUGAGCAUCAGCAGGAAGAUGAGGAAGCUGGAGGAGAAGAGCAACUUGGCUGGGAGAAGGGAGGAGAGGGCGUCUCAGACACAGGGCCCAGAGGGAGCCCAGGCACCCUCCCCUGGCCCACUUCAUUCUCACCCAAGAUCUUCAGACUCUCGUUGCCAAUGCCAUCAGUGGCAUACUGGCCCCAGUAGAUGCAGAAAAACAGGAGGCUCAGGACUGAGGGGAGAGCGGGCAGAGGGAGGAAAGGACAGAAACCAGCUUUGGGGCAUCACCGUUCCCCAGCAUUAGGAUCCAGAUGGCCAGAACCCCUCCUUCAUCCCCAUCAGGAUUCUAGACCAUUUACGCCCACUGACGUCCUAGGAGACUGGAGCCCAGGCCCCAGCCCCUCUUCUUCAGGAUCCAGAUGUCCAGGCCCCCAGCCCCUCCUCCCUCAGACCCAGGGGUCCUGGCCCCCAGCCCCUCCUCCCUCAGACCCAGGAUCCAGGCCCCCAGCCCCUCUUCUUUUCCUCAGACCCAGGUAUCUGGACCCUAUGUCCCUCCUCUGACAGAACUCAAAAGCUGGGAUACUCUGAACCUCACCCUCCACUCCUGCUGCAGCCAUGAACAUUUUGUAAGUUGUGUGGAGCAACUGACGACCUUUCAGUAAAUCUAAAAGAAACGUAGGGGAAGGCGGUUCACAGACAGGAAGGGAGACUAGCUCGUUCCCCCAACCCUGCCCCCCAUAACUCCUAACCCCACCACCACGUACUGGACUUACAUCCAAAGUAACAGGAGAGGAAGAAGAUGAGGAGGAAGAUGAGGAGGAAAGUCACAUCUGUCUCCAGGAUCCCUGCCAAUUUUGUAGAAGGAGGAAAUGAUUCAGUCAAAGCUGGGUGUCCCUCGGCAGUGAGCACCCAACUCUAGACCUCCACAAAGAUUCUGGUUUCUGGGUCCGCAAUGCUCACCAAACUCAUCAGCCGAGAAAUGCCGUGUCCAGAAGGACUUGCCAUUGGUGAGGACCAUCUCAUACUCCAACUGCAGCCCAUCUCCCUGUGGGAAGUGGGGAGGCCUAAGGGGGGGUGGGGGCCUGGGCAGGUAGAGGGUCACCAGGAAGGCAAGGAGGAGAAGGCCCAGGUGGCCGGCCCAGCCUCUUACCCCACACUUGCUGAGUGCGAUGUACCACCACCUUUCACGAACCGAGCGGAAGCUUCGGCCACUGGAGCAGCUCAGGUAGCGGGUUCCGUCCUCUGACACUACCUGGGAAGGAGCAAGAAGAAGGUUGAAGCCUGUCUGCGCAGCCCUCGGGCCCUUGGCCUUCAGCAUCUGCCCAUUCCCCCAUACCUGACAGCCUGACCAGGCAUACUGGGUGGUGAGGUUGAUGACCUGGUUGUUCUCAGGCCUGAUCACUGACUCCUUGGCCAGGCAGUCCUGGGGAAGGCAGGGACACGGUCACUCCCUGGCCAGCCUCGGCCUUCUUCCCUCUCCCAUGCACCCUCCUCACAGCCUUCACCUUGUCCCCUGCCUUGUACACAGCCGGCCACUGGGAUGGGUCGUCGAAAUAGAGGAGGAUGUUCUGACAGCA